UUAACCUGCAUGUGUUUGGACUGACAGAGGAACAGAGGAACAGCGGCCCUGCGAGGAGGCGACAGCGCUAACAACUGGAUGGCCUCCCAUUAACCCCGGCCGACGAGAUGCCCUUAAGCUCACGCUCCAUCAGCACCACAGCUGAUAGCUCUAUUCCAGCAGCAAAAACACAAUCACCUCCAGCAUUGACUGGCUGUCGGUGUGAAAGAUAUGGCGUUUAUGAGCGCGAAGCUCGAGCGCUCUGGGGUCUGGAGUGUCCCAGCUGAGCAGGUCAGCACCAACAGGUCAGCACCAACAGGUCAACGCCCACAGGUCAGUGCCUACAGGUCAACGCCCAUAAUCUGCCAACGGGGAAGCGACGGCGCAGUGUCUGAGCUCGUAAACACGCCCGCUCGGCGGCUUUAAACGUGUACGGC
rnacentral:lncRNA from 1 species